rnacentral:rRNA from 1 species
AGAGUUUGAUCAUGGCUCAGAUUGAACGCUGGCGGAAUGCUUUACACAUGCAAGUCGAACGGCAGCACGGGGGCAACCCUGGUGGCGAGUGGCGAACGGGUGAGUAAUACAUCGGAACGUGCCCAGUCGUGGGGGGAUAACGUAGCGAAAGCUACGCUAAUACCGCAUACGAACUGAGGUUGAAAGCGGGGGAUCGCAAGACCUCGCGCGAUUGGAGCGGCCGAUGGCAGAUUAGGUAGUUGGUGGGGUAAAGGCCUACCAAGCCGACGAUCUGUAGCUGGUCUGAGAGGACGACCAGCUACACUGGGACUGAGACACGGCCCAGACUCCUACGGGAGGCAGCAGUGGGGAAUUUUGGACAAUGGGCGCAAGCCUGAUCCAGCCAUUCCGCGUGCAGGAUGAAGGCCCUCGGGUUGUAAACUGCUUUUGUACGGAACGAAAAGGCUCUCUCUAAUACAGGGGGCUGAUGACGGUACCGUAAGAAUAAGCACCGGCUAACUACGUGCCAGCAGCCGCGGUAAUACGUAGGGUGCGAGCGUUAAUCGGAAUUACUGGGCGUAAAGCGUGCGCAGGCGGUUGUGUAAGACAGAUGUGAAAUCCCCGGGCUUAACCUGGGAACUGCAUUUGUGACUGCACAGCUGGAGUGCGGCAGAGGGGGAUGGAAUUCCGCGUGUAGCAGUGAAAUGCGUAGAUAUGCGGAGGAACACCGAUGGCGAAGGCAAUCCCCUGGGCCUGCACUGACGCUCAUGCACGAAAGCGUGGGGAGCAAACAGGAUUAGAUACCCUAGUAGUCC